GGUAGAGAAGAGUCAGUGGCUGGUGAAGUAAGAGGGAUACAGCUGUCUGCUGAUUCAAGGUCCCUGCCCCGUCGCCUCAACAUCCUCAAGAUCCUGUAGGCUACUGCUGCUGCUCCUUGCUUCAGCACCUUUCCCCUGAUGCCUGACACCCCUCAUCACCAAAUCAGCCCAGUCAACAUGGACCCAAAAUGGACCCAAGUCUCCACCACAGUGUGCACAAUACACUAUACACAGACAGGGACGAGAACAAAGGUACAAUUGGUCUGAGGGGAGGACACCGCAGACAGCUGAUCAACUCCAUGUCAUCUAAUCAGGCCAUGUAAAGGACCAUGAAGGGAUGGACUUGGUGGAGGACAACAAUGUGACACCUGAAAAGAGCACAUGGAGAUCUCUCAUCCUCAUCCCUCAUGCUUAUAUUGCAUUUCAUAUAGGCCUAGAUUCUGAUGGUCUUGUAAAUGUUUGUUACACAAGUCAGAAAUUGUUGUCUUUGAUUAUUUAAUUUGAUUAUAAUAAAUGGAAAUAUAUUUUAUUGAAAAAUA